UUUCUGGUGUUAUAACCUUAUUCUCAAAGAAUCAUAGCAACUGCACUGUAGUAGCAAGUUCCUCCAUGGCUUUUGUACUUUUGCCAGUAGCUACUGACGGAAAAUAGCAAGGUUUCUUUGGUUGGAAUUGGAUCAUCCUGCAAUCUGCAACAGCAUCUGGUUGGUGUUUGUUCAUGUGCUGUUCUCUUUUCCAUAGGAAGCUAUAAGGUAUUUCUUUCCAAAAUUGUCGAUUCAAUCUUCAACAAAAGAUUGAUAUGAUAAAUAAGAUAAUAAAUGAAAAUGAGGUGAAAAUUUUUGGGAGGGACCCUUUCAACUUUAUUGUAUGUAGACACACUAACAUACUUGCACAUCAUGAUAUUAUUGAUCAAUAUGUCAUAUAUUUCGAUUCAAGCAAAUUAAUUGCAUGAAUAAGAUUGGUUAAUAAGUAUUCAUGAGUUCAGUUAUCAUUUACAUUUAAUUGCUUAUUACGAACUACAAAAAAUUUAUCAUGCAGAGGAGUCGUCACUUAAUUAUCGAAUCAAGCAAUAAAUAGUAUUGCUUGUCAUUUGAUUUUAAUUGCCAGAAGAAAGGAUAAAUACAAGUUAAUUUUACUUUCUUUGGUGAUAUUUAUUAACUUGUAAAUAGACUGCCUGCAAUUAUAAAAUUAAUUGUCAAUCAAUUACUCAAUAAUUACUUUAUAAUAUAUAUUAAAUGACUUAUUAUAGAUAGCACUAAAUCUUACAAUUAAUAAAAUGAACCGUAGAAAAUUUAAAAUGGAUCUGACGUCAUGGACAAAAAAAUCCGAUAAUAUCAAUGUCGGACACGAAUUUUAGUUGGAUCCGACCCGAUAACAUCCCUCUCGAGGCUCUCUUAACUCUUCGGCUCGGGUCCAAACCUUCGCUUCGCAGCCGGCGGAAGGAGACCAGAAGGCAAUUGGCGCCGACGAUGGAUCCCAGGAUGUGGCACAAGGUCGCUGCAAUCUCCGGUGUUGCUGCUAUCGGUCUGGGGACUUACGGCGCUCAUGGUUUCAAGCCCAAGAACCCAUCUUACGAGGAGGUUUGGCGUACCGCCUCCCUCUACCACUUGGUCCAUACGGCCGCCCUAGUGGGAGCUCCCAUCGCCAAACGCCCCAACAUCUUUGGAGGGCUUCUAACUACCGGUAUCGUCGGGUUCUCGGGAACGUGCUACACCGUGGCUUAUCUUGAAGACAGAAAGAUCUCUUUUAUUGCACCAUAUGGUGGAUUUGCAUUUCUUGCUGCUUGGGCUAGCUUACUCUUCUGACACGCAAUGGAUCAUCAACAUUUGAGGUGUCAUAUUGCAUUGGAGCUAUUUGGGAAGUUUGUCCUCGGUUAUGUCAAGGGAGCGACUGGAAGUGGCAGCAACAUCACCUGCAAGAAAGAACCAAUGAGGCAAGUUCAUGUGAUUCAGCUGAGAAAAUUUUUAACAUACAAACGUAUAUAUGUUGCUGUCAUUAGAAGCUGAGAUACAAAGUCAUAACUUGCUUUCUGACACUCGAGUAGCUAAGCAUCAUUAAUGGAUCUUGCUCUUGCUUGUGUGUUAUCACAUGUUGAGAUAUUGUGCAAUUUGUUCAAGAAGUGCAUUUUUUCUGCUCCCGAGCAUACACAAAUAUGUAGUAGUCUAUGAUUUAGAAAUAUCAGUGUUAAAUCAUGAUUUAGUAUCGCAAGAUCUGUUUCACAUAAAUUACACUUCUGCUGAAUGAAACAACUGCUUCAAGAGAAGAUAAGAAUCAUAUAUGACUUUAGGUUGGUAACAAUAGCAGCAGCACUGAAGAAGCAAGACCCUCCUUGUUUUUCGUAUUUCUGCAUAGCACUCGAUGGUCCUUGACAUCUUAAUAAGCUGCAGAGAUUUAGAGUUUUUUGUUUUUUUGGAGGUGAAGGUGGUCUUAGAUAUGUCACUGUACGUUCUUAAUUCAUAGUUGUAUCUAACAAAAGUAUGAUGCCUUAACACUUUUUGUUUGAAAUAUCUACAAUUUCUAAGGAUCUCUAAGGAUGGUGGCCACCAUGGCUGCCGGGGCCAGAGUUGAACUAAACCUCUGCACUCCAUCUUGCAAGCGAAGAUCCAUGAGUAUGUUCUUGGCACGGUCCCUCCCAUGCUCAAGUCGAAUAGAAGAGGGAUUUCUGAGGUGAAACAUAUAGAAUAAUGAGAGGAGAGAGAAAAUUCUGUAUCGUAGCUAAAAUGACCCUUGUUUAUAGUCUAGGAUCCUUACUUGCUUGUGGUGAAGGAAACAUUCUGCGAAUCAUUCGUGAUUUGGAGAAUAUUUUCUAUUGUGAUUUAUGAUGACAAGCGUUUCAUCGUUUUUUUUUUAACGGCUGGCAUUCACAUGUCAGUUCUUUAUUAGGGUGAUGAUUAUCAGCACUGCAUUUAUAUAAUUGGUUAGCAAAAGUUACAAGGCUCUCAUAUUCCUUGCAAUAAUUUUUAAUACCCCAAGGCAGCUCAAACAUCCCAUUUAGAUAUACUAAGAUAAUAGAGAGAUUCGCCUGAUCAUCGUGCAGUCUAAUUCUCUUCUCUUGCUUUAGUGCGACUCCGAGUGUUGUUACUGGUUAUUACUCUACUCCACUUUUCAUAAUGAGAUAGUCUCUUAUCAUCUUGAAAUCAUCCAGAAACUUGGAUGGAUGAUUAAGGUGGGAAGUGUCUAUAAGCAUUCCUUAACUGGAGAUCUGAAUAUAAUAUAAAACAGUAGGAAACAACACAAGUUAGGUUUUCACAUGGAUUUUGAGAUGUCUGUGAUCAUAGCAUGAAUGAAGCAUUUAUGUUGAUUCUAAACUAAAUCUUCCUAAUCUUUGUUAUUAGAAUCAGUUGUUUGCCUUUUUUUUUUUUUGGCAAUUUCAUUGCAAUGAUCUU